rnacentral:rRNA from 1 species
AGAAUCAACGCUGGCGGCAUGCCUAACACAUGCAAGUCGAACGAGAAAGUGGAGCAAUCCACGAGUAAAGUGGCGCACGGGUGAGUAACACGUGACUAACCUACCUUUUAGUGGGGGAUAACCUAGGGAAACCUGGGCUAAUACCGCAUAAUACCUACGGGUCAAAGCAGCAAUGCGCUGAAAGAGGGGGUCGCGGCCGAUUAGCUGGUUGGUGGGGUAACGGCCCACCAAGGCGACGAUCGGUAGCUGGUCUGAGAGGAUGAUCAGCCACACUGGGACUGAGACACGGCCCAGACUCCUACGGGAGGCAGC